rnacentral:lncRNA from 1 species
UUCCUGUGUUUUUGAUAUUCUUUAAACAAUAGUAUUUGUUUAAGAGGAUUUUGAAACAAGGUGGAUUGAUGAGGAUCUGGAUAAAUAUUUCUUUGCUGUCUGGUGUUGUUUCAAUCCAGAUUAAAUAAAUUAGAACUAAUUCAGUUAAUGUGUAGGAUAGGUUGUAUGAGUGGUAGUAGCUGAUGUAUAGGAAUGUAGACCUUACUUUGACCUAUUCUUGGAAACAAUUGAUAGUUAGUUUAUUAAGUUUAUUCACUUCAGGAUACAAAUUUUGGGGAAUCAAGAACCUUGAUUUGACGAAUAGAGUGUUUUUUUUUACUUCUUUUUACAACAAUUUUUGUAUUGUUUUUUGGUGUCUCAACAAUAUAUAUCUUCACAUACCAGGAAAAGAGUGUGUGUGUUUUUGUGUGCAACUCCAUUAACAAAUUAUCUAUCUAUCUAUCUAUCUAUAUCUCAAUAAGUAUGUACCUUCAACAAAAACAGAACCCUAAAAAACCCAUUUGUCUCCUUGGCUUUCUCCCUCCAAUACUAGAAAAAUAAGCACAAAAACCAUGCAUCUCCAUCACUUUUCUGCACCCCAUUGCCUGCACGAAACCCUAAAUAUCUAUUCUUCUCCAUGACUUUCCCAUCAUUUCAUGGAAUGGAACCCUAAAAACCAUGCAAAUCCUGCCACUUUCCCUUUCUUUGAUGGUGUGCAGAAUGCUAAAAACCUGUGUUUGUAUCCAUGCAUUUAAGGAGGGUGAUGGUGCUUCCCCAAAGUUGGAUAACAACAAAACUAACUAUAGGAAACUUUGACUGCCACUGCAAGCCACAACUCCUACAAAUGAAACAAGAGAGAGAGGCUGGUGGGUGGUAUUAUUUAUUUAUCUACUUACUUACUUAUUAAUACCACCAUCUUAUUAUACUUUGUUUUGUUUUUUGUUCAUUGCUUUAUGUUGGCACGAGACAUGAGAGAUUUGAGGAGAUUGGGUUUUCUGGCUGCUGAUCUGACACUGCAACAAAAUUCAAGGAUUUGAUCAGAUACUAUAUUCCAUUGCCUUCUCCACAUGCCGAGAAGAAAAAAAGGAACCCCAAAAAGAGAAAGCCAAAAGGUGGGUUCCACUUUCCUUUUGACUUUGUUGUGUUUUGUUCCCUUGUUCCCCUUCCCCUAUUUCAAAGAGCCCAGAGCAUUAGACCACAAUCCAAAUUACAGAUGGGGGAGGGAAAUUAAAAUAAAAAAAGGGAAAAAAUAGAGGCAAAUUUGGUUGACUGAAAAUAUGAUGGUAUAUACUUUUGAUAGAAAUGGAAGCAAUAUUUAUUUUUAAUUAAUCUUUCUUAAUAAUAUUUUUAAAAAAAUCAUGUACAAAUCUUCAAAGGGUGGUGGGGAAAUUGACAUCAUAUGGAUUUGAUUUUUGGUGCCCUUGUGAUACACAGCCUUUCAAGGAAGGAGCAGCCAUUUGAAGAACCAAGCUUCACACCCCAUAUUCAGAAUGAGCCACAGUUCAUCCAUAGUAAAAUUAAAUAAAACAUCAGCAAUGUAAAAACCUACUGAUAGCAGUGGUACAUUUCAAUAGAGUUGCACACAUACAUGAAUGAAAGCAGAGACAGGAUGAAUGCCAUUGUGCGAGGGUUUUCCAUCAGGCAGAUCACAUGUAUCUCUGUUUGUGUGUGUAUGAGUGUGUGUUUAUAUUUGUAUAUGAAUAUAUAUAUAUAUAUAUAUAUAUGAAUGUGUAUACAUAUAUGAAUGAGUGAGCAAUCAGAUUCAACAAGUAAUCCGUGUGUGUGCAAGCAGGUUUUGCUUUCUUCUCAUUGGGCACAGAGCACCGGGCAUGGAAUUAUAAGACAUAGUUCCAGGGGGUUUGCCAAUAAUAAUGGGUCCACUGCACCAUUGCUUUAUGGAUGAAUGAAUGAAAAAGGAGCAUUUGCCUCAUCCACAAACACCAAAAAGCUCACUUUGACACCUCUUCUGUGCAUGGAAACCCUAAUAAUGUGAGGACUGGGGUGAAGUUUUGGGGCAGGACAGCUGCGUUUUUUUAUACUUUGGGCCUUGUCUUUGUGUACAGAGUGAAAAGAGGACAAUGGGUUUAGUUUGAGUAUAUUUAUCUGCAGUUAUUCUUUUUGGACAUAUAGAAAAAGAAUAGUUUGUAGUGCAUACUUGAAAAAUAUCCCAUUAAAAAUGGAAAUGUAACAAUGCCAACAUUUAAUGUGAUUUCAUUCUUUGGAA